rnacentral:rRNA from 1 species
GGGAGGCAGCAGUGGGGAAUUUUCCGCAAUGGGCGCAAGCCUGACGGAGCAACGCCGCGUGAGGGAUGAAGGCCUCUGGGCUGUAAACCUCUUUUAUCAAGGAAGAAGAUCUGACGGUACUUGAUGAAUAAGCCACGGCUAAUUCCGUGCCAGCAGCCGCGGUAAUACGGGAGUGGCAAGCGUUAUCCGGAAUUAUUGGGCGUAAAGCGUCCGCAGGCGGUUUUACAAGUCUGUCGUUAAAGCGUGGAGCUCAACUCCAUUUCAGCGAUGGAAACUGUAAGACUCGAGUGUGGUAGGGGCAGAGGGAAUUCCCGGUGUAGCGGUGAAAUGCGUAGAUAUCGGGAAGAACACCAGUGGCGAAAGCGCUCUGCUGGGCCAUAACUGACGCUCAUGGACGAAAGCCAGGGGAGCGAAAGGGAUUAGAUACCCCUGUAGUCCUGGCCGUAAACGAUGAACACUAGGUGUCGGGGGAAUCGACCCCCUCGGUGUCGUAGCCAACGCGU